AACUUAAUCUUUUAAAUUAAAUGUUUUAUCAUGUUUCAUGCAUCAUGAUUAUGCAAUAGGAUGAUUGCAUUAGUUUUCACGAAUAUGCCGCAUUGCAUCGAUUGUUGUUGAUGUGGGUGAAUAUUGGAUGACCCAAUUAGUCCAUGACAGGAAGACCAGGACCCCAUUCUACGGCCUGGCACAGAGUAAGGAAAGACCAGGACCCC
rnacentral:lncRNA from 1 species